UCAGGACGAACGCUGGCGGCGUGCCUAAUACAUGCAAGUCGAGCGGACCGAYGGGAGCUUGCUCCCUUAGGUCAGCGGCGGACGGGUGAGUAACACGUGGGUAACCUGCCUGUAAGACUGGGAUAACUCCGGGAAACCGGGGCUAAUACCGGAUGCUUGAUUGAACCGCAUGGUUCAAUYAUAAAAGGUGGCUUUYAGCUACCACUUACAGAUGGACCCGCGGCGCAUUAGCUAGUUGGUGAGGUAACGGCUCACCAAGGCGACGAUGCGUAGCCGACCUGAGAGGGUGAUCGGCCACACUGGGACUGAGACACGGCCCAGACUCCUACGGGAGGCAGCAGUAGGGAAUCUUCCGCAAUGGACGAAAGUCUGACGGAGCAACGCCGCGUGAGUGAUGAAGGUUUUCGGAUCGUAAAACUCUGUUGUUAGGGAAGAACAAGUACCGUUCGAAUAGGGCGGUACCUUGACGGUACCUAACCAGAAAGCCACGGCUAACUACGU
rnacentral:rRNA from 1 species